rnacentral:rRNA from 1 species
AGGGUAAAAUUAAUAAAUAAAUUUAUAAUAAAAAUAUUUUUAAUAUUAAAAUGGGGGUUUUAGUAUUUAAAAAGAAAUAAUUUAAAAAUUUAUAGUUUAUUAGUAUUGUAAAAGAAUUUUUAAAUAGUUAUGAAAAUAAAUUAAAUUAAAAGUAAAUUUUAUUUAUUGUAUCUUGUGUAUCAGAGUUUAUUAAAUAUUUAGUUUAGAUAAAUUAAUUCUCGAAUUUAAAAGAGAUAAUUAAUUAUAAAAGUUAUUGUUGCAUAAAUAUUUUAAAUAAUUAAUUUGAAAUGAAAUGUUAAUCGUUUUUAAAUAUAUCUAGUUUUUUUAGAAAAAAAUUUAAUUUUAUUUUUUUUUUAUAAUAAAUUAAUUAGUUAAUUUAUUAUAAAAGAAAAAUUAUAUUUUAAGGGAUAAGCUUUAAAUUAAAUUUUUAUAAUUAUUAUUAAAAUAAUUAAAAAUUUUAAAAUUUAUAUUGUUUAUAAUUUUUAAUUUAUUAUAAAUUAAUUUUAAUUAAAUUAAAAUUUUUUAAUGAUUUAAUUUUUUAUAAAAAAAUAUUUUUUAAUAAAAUAAAAUUAGUUAUAAUGAUAAAAUUAGUAUUUAAUUAUAAUAAAAAAUUAAUUAUUAUAAAAAGUUAGUUUAAGGAAUUCGGCAAAAAUUUAUAUUCACUUGUUUAUCAAAAACAUGUCUUUUUGAAAAUAAUUUAAAGUCUAAUCUGCCCACUGAUAAUUUAUUAAAGGGCUGCAGUAUAUUGACUGUACAAAGGUAGCAUAAUCAAUAGUCUCUUAAUUGGUGACUUGUAUGAAAGAUUGGAUGAAAUAUAAACUGUCUCAAAUUUAGUUAAAUAAUUUAAUUUUUUGAUUAAAAAGUCAAAAUAAAUUUAAAAGACGAGAAGACCCUAUAGAGUUUAAUAAAUUUAUUUAUUAAAAUUAUAUAUAUAAUUAAUAAUUAAAAUAAAUUAAUUUAUUUUGUUGGGGUGAUAAAAAAAUAAAAAUAACUUUUUUUAUAUAAAUUCAUAAAUAAGUGAAUAAAUGAUCCAAAAUAUUUUGAUUAAAAGAAAAAAUUACCUUAGGGAUAACAGCGUAAUUUUUUUUUUUAGUUCAAAUAAAAAAAAAAGUUUGCGACCUCGAUGUUGGAUUAAGAUAAAAUUUAAAUGCAAAAGUUUAAAAUUUUGAUCUGUUCGAUCAUUAAAAUCUUACAUGAUCUGAGUUCAAACCGGUGUGAGCCAGGUUGGUUUCUAUCUUUAAUAAAAUAAAAUAUUUUAGUACGAAAGGAAUAAAUAUUUAAAUUAAAUUUAAUUGAAUGAAUAUUAAUAAAUUAUCUAUAAAAAGUAAAA